rnacentral:misc_RNA from 1 species
AGUUCCUCCAUGUCGCUGAUGCAAACACUCUGUUCUGGUUGAGAAUUGGUUCAUACUUUGUUUAAUUGCCAUCUCUAGUGUGAAGUAUAAUAUUGUGAUCCCAGAUUGGUAUUUUGGAUUUUAUAAUGAGAAUGGAAGCAUCGCUACAUGGUGUGUACUUGUAUAUUUUGAAACAUUUGAGCCUGAAACUUAGCAAGGACGGCCC